rnacentral:rRNA from 1 species
UAGCAUAUCAAUAAGCGGAGGAAAAGAAACCAACAGGGAUUGCCUCAGUAACGGCGAGUGAAGCGGCAACAGCUCAAAUUUGAAAUCUGGCCCUAGGCCCGAGUUGUAAUUUGCAGAGGAUGCUUUUGGUGCGGUGCCUUCCAAGUUCCCUAGAACGGGACGCCAGAGAGGGUGAGAGCCCCGUACAGUUGGACACCAAGCCUUUGUAAAGCUCCUUCGACGAGUCGAGUAGUUUGGGAAUGCUGCUCAAAAUGGGAGGUAUAUUUCUUCUAAAGCUAAAUACCGGCCAGAGACCGAUAGCGCACAAGUAGAGUGAUCGAAAGAUGAAAAGCACUUUGAAAAGAGGGUUAAACAGCACGUGAAAUUGUUAAAAGGGAAGCGCUUGUGACCAGACUUGCGUCCGGUGAAUCACCCAGCUCUCGCGGCUGGGGCACUUCGCCGGCUCAGGCCAGCAUCAGCUCGCUGUCGGGGACAAAAGCUUCAGGAACGUAGCUCUCUUCGGGGAGUGUUAUAGCCUGUUGCAUAAUACCCUUCGGCGGGCUGAGGUACGCGCUCCGCAAGGAUGCUGGCAUAAUGGUCAUCAGCGACCCGUCUUGAAACACGGACCAAGGAGUCAACCUUAUGUGCGAGUGUUCGGGUGUCAAACCCCUACGCGUAAUGAAAGUGAACGCAGGUGAGAGCUUCGGCGCAUCAUCGACCGAUCCUGAUGUUCUCGGAUGGAUUUGAGUAAGAGCAUAUAGGGUUGGACCCGAAAGAAGGUGAACUAUGCGUGUAUAGGGUGAAGCCAGAGGAAACUCUGGUGGAGGCUCGCAGCGGUUCUGACGUGCAAAUCGAUCGUCAAAUAUGCGCAUGGGGGCGAAAGACUAAUUGAACCUUCUAGUAGCUGGUUUCCGCGA